rnacentral:rRNA from 1 species
UACAGGGGGCUCGAGCGUUAGUCGGAAUCACUGGGCUUAAAGGGUGCGUAGGCGGUCCACCAAGUGCUUUGUGAAAUCCCCGAGCUCAACUCGGGAACUGCAGGGCAAACUGGAGGACUUGAAGCAGGUAGGGGCUGGAAGAACAGUAGGUGGAGCGGUGAAAUGCGUAGAUAUCGGGAGGAACACCGGUGGCGAAGGCGGUUCUCUGGGCCUUACCUGACACUGAGGAGCGAAAGCGUGGGGAGCGAACAGG